AGAGCCCAGGGAGAAAGCAGCAGAGAAGCUGUCAAGUGGAACCAGGAGGCAAGAAGACCGCAAGGCAGGGUGCGCUGCAGCCAAGUUCACCCUUCACUGCGAGCCCUAUAGGGAGAAAGUCACUGUACGCUACAGUUAAAGCUGUAACAGCUACACCUUGGGGAAUGGCCAGAAGAAACAAGGUCCAGUACUUCAAAAGAAGUUACCCCUUCUAGCUUCAGGUCCAGUCUGACAUGUUUAAGGAGCUGGUGGAAAUAGGAAUGACAGCUGCUUCCCAUCCCAAGUGCCCAAGACUGAUUAUGAUUCAAAUACAUUCUUUUGGAAGUUCUCUCUUCACAAUUUUUUUCCUGUGAACUGGCAAGUGUGGACAAGGUGCGGAUGUUGGCAGGGAGAGAGCACACAUAGUAGGAUAUUCCCUGUGUUCCUCUGACACACGGUUGCAAAACUGCAACCCAGAGGGGGCAGAGCUUCCCAGAACUGGGAUAUAAGAAGAGACUAUAUAUAUUGUUUUGAACCUUCCCUGGGCCUAGCAAGAAGUUGGGCACA